rnacentral:rRNA from 1 species
AGCAGCCGCGGUAAUUCCAGCUCCAAUAGCGUAUAUUAAAGUUGUUGCAGUUAAAAAGCUUGUAGUUGAAUUUCGGGACUAAUAUGUCGGUCGUACUUUGUACGUACUAGCAUUAUUGGUUUCUCCCUUCUGACGAACCACGAUGUCAUUAAUUUGGUGUCAUGGGAAAUCAGGACUGUUACUUUGAAAAAUUAGAGUGUUUAAAGCAAGCUCGCGCUUGAAUACAUUAGCAUGGAAUAAUGAAAUAGGACGUUUGAUUCUAUUUUGUUGGUUUCUAGGAUCGACGUAAUGAUUAAUAGGGAUAGUUGGGGGCAUUAGUAUUCAAUUGUCAGAGGUGAAAUUCUUGGAUUUAUUGAAGACUAACUACUGCGAAAAGCAUUUGCCAAGAAUGUUUUCAUUAAUCAAGAACGAAAGU